GACGAACGCUGGCGGCAUGCCUAACACAUGCAAGUCGAACGAGACCUUCGGGUCUAGUGGCGCACGGGUGCGUAACGCGUGGGAAACUGCCCUUGGGUUCGGAAUAACUCCCCGAAAGGGGUGCUAAUACCGGCUAAUGUCUUCGGACCAAAGAUUUAUCGCCUUUGGAUGGGCCCGCGUUGGAUUAGCUAGUUGGUAGGGUAAAAGCCUACCAAGGCGACGAUCCAUAGCUGGUCUGAGAGGAUGAUCAGCCACACUGGGACUGAGACACGGCCCAGACUCCUACGGGAGGCAGCAGUGGGGAAUAUUGGACAAUGGGCGAAAGCCUGAUCCAGCAAUGCCGCGUGAGUGAUGAAGGCCUUAGGGUUGUAAAGCUCUUUUACCCGGGAUGAUAAUGACAGUACCGGGAGAAUAAGCUCCGGCUAACUCCGUG
rnacentral:rRNA from 1 species